rnacentral:rRNA from 1 species
CCCCAGACUCCUACGGGAGGCAGCAGUGGGGGAUAUUGCACAAUGGGGGAAACCCUGAUGCAGCGACGCCGCGUGAGUGAAGAAGUAUUUCGGUAUGUAAAGCUCUAUCAGCAGGGACGAAAAUGACGGUACCUGAGUAAGAAGCCCCGGCUAACUACGUGCCAGCAGCCGCGGUAAUACGUAGGGGGCAAGAGUUAUCCGGAUUUACUGGGUGUAAAGGGAGCGUAGACGGUUAUGCAAGUCUGGAGUGAGAGGCGGGGGCUCAACCCCCGGACUGCUCUGGAAACUGUGUAGCUUGAGUGCAGGAGGGGUAAGCGGAAUUCCUAGUGUAGCGGUGAAAUGCGUAGAUAUUAGGAGGAACACCGGUGGCGAAGGCGGCUUACUGGACUGCAACUGACGUUGAGGCUCGAAGGCGUGGGGAGCAAACAGGAUGAGAUACCCCCGUAA